GCCUGAUUGGCACAGUGGUUAAGUGCUCAGCUGAUAACUGAAAGGUCAGUGGUUCAAACCCACUGGCU
rnacentral:tRNA from 1 species